GAAUUGCGAUAUGUAAUGUGAAUUGCAGAAUUCAGUGAAUCAUCGAAUCUUUGAACGCACCUUGCGCCCUUUGGUAUUCCGAAGGGCAUGCCUGUUUGAGUGUCAUUAAAUUCUCAACUUUGAAACAUUGUUUUGUUUUCAAAGCUUGGACUGUGGAGGCUUGCCGGCAAAGUAAUGUCAGCUCCUCUUAAAUGCAUCAGCAGAACCUUUUUGAUUUAAAAGGACUGGCUUCAGUUUGGUAAUUCUAUCUAUGCUGUCGCUGUUGACCUUUGUAUGUUCUGCUUCUAAUGGUCUUUGGACUGUCUCUAUGGAGGCAUACACUUUUAAGCUUGACCUCAAAUCAGGUAGGACUACCCGCUGAACUUAA
rnacentral:misc_RNA from 1 species